GUAUCUCGUUUCGGCGGUACACAAGCUAAACUUGGAACGAUACGGAGAAGGUUGACAUGGUCCCUACGCAAGGAAGACACGCGAAACCGUGAAGCGUUUUUCAUAUUU
rnacentral:snRNA from 1 species